AGGGGAAGGUAGGUCACCGCUCCAAGAGAUUAUUUUGGAGAGGAAAGUCUGGACUUCGCAGAAAGAGAUACCAGUUAACGGCUGGGCGCCGCAAGGCGACGGAAAGUGCAACAGAAACUAUACCGCUCUUGCAAGAGAGUAAGGCUGAAAAGGCAGGCUUAAUGAGAGCCGGCCGCUCUGUAGGAGACUGCAGGCGUUGUAAACCCUAUCUGAAGCAAGGUCGAGAGAAUCUUUUUGGAAAAGGAGUGCUCUCUUUCGGGCACGGGCGUUUUUAGCCCAAGAUUCGAAAAGACCGCAUAAGAAGAAUGGUGGCCCACGACAGAAUCUGGCUUACCGCUUUCCCCGUUUU
rnacentral:RNase_P_RNA from 1 species